UACGUAGGGCGCAAGCGUUGCUCGGAAUCACUGGGCGUAAAGGGCGCGUAGGCGGGAUGGCAAGUCAGUCGUGAAAUCUCUCGGCUCAACCGAGAAACGUCGGCUGAUACUGCCGUUCUUGAGGGAUGCAGAGGAGACUGGAAUUCCCGGUGUAGCGGUGAAAUGUGUAGAGAUCGGGAGGAACACCGGUGGCGAAGGCGGGUCUCUGGGCAUCUCCUGACGCUGAGGCGCGAAAGCGUGGGGAGCAAACAGG
rnacentral:rRNA from 1 species